UGCUAUGUUGAAACUAUCCAAAAGACACUAGCACCCAUCUGAUCCUGACAGCUAUGCAGGAUCAGCCCUGGUUAGUACUUGAAUAGAAGACCACCAACAAAUACCAGGUGUUGUAGGUC
rnacentral:rRNA from 1 species